UACAGAGGUCCCAAGCGUUGUUCGGAUUCACUGGGCGUAAAGCGCACGUAGGCGGCUUUGUAAGUUAGAGGUGAAAGCCCAGGGCUUAACCCUGGAAUUGCCUUUAAGACUGCAUCGCUAGAAUCGUGGAGAGGUGAGUGGAAUUCCGAGUGUAGAGGUGAAAUUCGUAGAUAUUCGCAAGAACACCAGUGGCGAAGGCGGCUCACUGGCCCGAUACUGACGCUGAGGCACGAAAGCGUGGGGAGCAAACAGG
rnacentral:rRNA from 1 species